rnacentral:lncRNA from 1 species
UGUGGAUUUUAGGGAUGUAUGUCUUGUUAAGAAAAAAAGUCCAGAUCGAAUGUGCCAUUUAUAUUACUGGUAUGGUAUUUUCAAUCAAUCAGAUUAUUACUUUUGGAAUCAUCCAUCCAUCGUAGUUAUUAGAAAAAUAUUGUUAUUGUAUUUUUUUUUUUCAAAAAGAGAGAUGUGAUUGACUGGUUAUCGAUGAUACAGUGUAAGUUUUACGCAGUAGACUUUCUCCCUGUUUAAGUAUAUACAUAUAUAUAUAUAUAUAUUCGGAAGUUAUUCAAAAAAAUU